UACGUAGGGUGCAAGCGUUAAUCGGAAUUACUGGGCGUAAAGCGUGCGCAGGCGGUUGUGCAAGACAGAUGUGAAAUCCCCGGGCUUAACCUGGGAUUGCAUUUGUGACUGCACGGCUAGAGUGUGUCAGAGGGGGGUAGAAUUCCACGUGUAGCAGUGAAAUGCGUAGAUAUCGAGAGGAACACCAGUGGCGAAGGCGAGUCCCUGGACAACACCUGACACUGAGGCACGAAAGCUAGGGGAGCAAACAGGAUUAGA
rnacentral:rRNA from 1 species